rnacentral:rRNA from 1 species
AACGAACGCUGGCGGCAGGCCUAACACAUGCAAGUCGAGCGAGGACUUCGGUCCUAGCGGCGGACGGGUGAGUAACGCGUGGGAACGUGCCCUUUGCUUCGGAAUAGCCCUGGGAAACUGGGAGUAAUACCGGAUGAGCCCUUUGGGGGAAAGAUUUAUCGGCGAAGGAUCGGCCCGCGUUGGAUUAGGUAGUUGGUGGGGUAAUGGCCUACCAAGCCGACGAUCCAUAGCUGGUUUGAGAGGAUGAUCAGCCACACUGGGACUGAGGCACGGCCCAGACUCCUACGGGAGGCAGCAGUGGGGAAUCUUAGGCAAUGGGGGAAACCCUGAUCCAGCCAUGCCGCGUGAGCGAUGAAGGCCUUAGGGUUGUAAAGCUCUUUCAGCUGGGAAGAUAAUGACGGUACCAGCAGAAGAAGCCCCGGCUAACUCCGUG